UAAAUUAUAUUUAUCUAUAAAAUAUUUUUAUUUUAUAGUUUAUAAUUGUUAUUAAGUAACUUCCUGCCAAACCCGGUCCGCCAACCCGUCCCGUAAAAAAAAUAUUUAUUUUAUUAAUGUUGAUUUUAUUUAUGAUAUGUUUAUGAAUUAUUAUCUAAAUAUUUUUUAAUUUUGUAGUAAUUAAAUGCUAUCAAAUAUCUCUGCGGUUUGAUAAUUAUAAUCGAAUUAUUAUAAUAAUGGAGAAAAGCAAUAUCAAAAAUGAUAAUUUUGUAGUAAUUAAAUGAUAUUAAAUAUUUU
rnacentral:sRNA from 1 species